UACAGAGGGUGCAAGCGUUGUUCGGAAUUAUUGGGCGUAAAGGGCGCGUAGGCGGCGUGUCAAGUCGAUUGUGAAUCUCCGGGCUUAACUCGGAACGGCCAAUCGAUACUGACGUGCUAGAGUGCAGAAAGGGCAAUCGGAAUUCUUGGUGUAGCGGUGAAAUGCGUAGAUAUCAAGAGGAACACCUGAGGCGAAGGCGGGUUGCUAGGCUGACACUGACGCUGAGUGCGCGAAAGCCAGGGGAGCAAACGGG
rnacentral:rRNA from 1 species